UACAGAGGGGGCAAGCGUUGUUCGGAAUUACUGGGCGUAAAGGGCGCGUAGGCGGCCUUCUAAGUCGAACGUGAAAUCCCUGGGCUUAACCCAGGAACUGCGUCCGAGACUGGAAGGCUUGAAUCCGGGAGAGGGAUGCGGAAUUCCAGGUGUAGCGGUGAAAUGCGUAGAUAUCGUAAGGAAGACCAGUGGCGAAGGCGGGUCUCUGGACAGUUCCUGACGCUGAGGCACGAAGGUCAGGGAGCAAACGGG
rnacentral:rRNA from 1 species